CUUCGAUGAAGAACGCAGCGAAAUGCGAUAAGUAAUGUGAAUUGCAGAAUUCAGUGAAUCAUCGAAUCUUUGAACGCAUCUUGCGCUCCUUGGUAUUCCGAGGAGCAUGCCUGUUUGAGUGUCAU
rnacentral:rRNA from 1 species